AUGAACCCAGCGAUGGCGGCUGAGCUCCGGCGAUGCAAGAGUGAAUCGAUGCUCUUCUCCCGCCUGCUCUCCUUCGCCCACGACAUCCUCCCCGACCCGCCCGUCUUCGCCCCCGCUUGCCUCUCCGCCCUCCUCCUCCCCCAUGACGACCGCAUCAGCCGCCUGCCCGAUGCGCUCCUCCGCAACACCGUGUGUGUUAGCGCACGGGCACUAACAUGGAUAACGAAGGAUGCGAACCUGAGAACGACGAAAUUGCAUAAGGCAAAGAGCUGUGUCCUGAAGAUCAAGAGUUAG
rnacentral:rRNA from 1 species